rnacentral:rRNA from 1 species
ACCAAAACAACCAGGAGGUUGGCUUAGAAGCAGCCAUCCUUUAAAGAAAGCGUAAUAGCUCACUGGUCGAGUCGGUCUGCGCGGAAGAUGUAACGGGGCUAAACUAUGCACCGAAGCUGCGGAUUCAUACUUUGUAUGAGUGGUAGGGGAGCGUUCUGUAAGCGGUUGAAGGUGUACCGGGAGGUAUGCUGGACGUAUCAGAAGUGCGAAUGCUGACAUGAGUAACGAUAAUGCGGGUGAAAAACCCGCACGCCGGAAGACCAAGGGUUCCUAUCCCAUGUUAAUCAGGGUAGGGUAAGUCGACCCCUAAGGCGAGGCCGAAAGGCGUAGUCGAUGGGAAACGGAUUAAUAUUUCCGUACUUGGUAUAAUUGCGAUGGGGGGACGGAGAAGGCUAAGCAAGCAUGGCGAUGGUUGUCCAUGUGAAAGUGAGUAGGGCGUUUGUUUAGGUAAAUCCGGACGAACAUUAAACCUGAGACACGAGACGAGCUACUACGGUAGUGAAGUUGCUGAUGCCAUACUUCCAGGAAAAGCCUCUAAGCUUCAGAUUAUACCGAAUCGUACCCCAAACCGACACAGGUGGUCAGGUAGAGAAUACUAAGGCGCUUGAGAGAACUCGGGUGAAGGAACUAGGCAAAAUCGUACCGUAACUUCGGGAGAAGGUACGCUCCUAUCUGUGAUGAGACUUGCUCUCUAAGCGGACGGGAGCCGCAGUGACCAGGUGGCUGGGACUGUUUAUUAAAAACACAGCACUGUGCAAAAUCGCAAGAUGACGUAUACGGUGUGACACCUGCCCGGUGCCGGAAGGUUAAUUGAUGGGGUUAUCUUCGGAGAAGCUCUUGAUCGAAGCCCCGGUAAACGGCGGCCGUAACAAUAACGGUCCUAAGGUAGCGAAAUUCCUUGUCGGGUAAGUUCCGACCUGCACGAAUGGUGCAACGAUCUGGGCACUGUCUCAGCCAUGAGCUCGGUGAAAUUGUAGUCUCGGUGAAGAUGCCGGGUACCCGCAAUGGGACGAAAAGACCCCGUGAACCUUCACUACAACUUAGUAUUGACUUCGGAUAAACAAUGUGUAGGAUAGGUGGGAGACGUUGAGGCAGCAUCGCUAGGUGUUGUGGAGUCGUCCUUGAAAUACCACCCUUGUAGUUUUGAUGUUCUAACGUUGGCCCCUGAAUCGGGGUUACGGACAGUGCCUGGUGGGUAGUUUGACUGGGGCGGUCUCCUCCCAAAGAGUAACGGAGGAGCACGAAGGUUGGCUAAGUACGGUCGGACAUCGUACGGUUAGUGUAAUGGUAGAAGCCAGCUUAACUGCGAGACAGACACGUCGAGCAGGUACGAAAGUAGGUCAUAGUGAUCCGGUGGUUCUGAAUGGAAGGGCCAUCGCUCAACGG